rnacentral:lncRNA from 1 species
UGUGAUGAUUUACCAUUCAGAGGUUACCUCUUAACCAUUCAGACUUGAGGUUACCUCUUAUUCAUUCAGAGGUUUUAUACCAUUAAAAGGUAGCAUCUGAAUGGUCAUUAAGAGGCUACCAAACAGCCCCAUAGACAUUUCAACAGAUUGCUAGAUCGACUGCCAAGCUAGGAGUCUUAGUUUGUUUUGUUUAUUGUGUUGUUCCUAUAAAUAGAACAUUCCUCUUUCUGACUUUCAUUCAAACUCACCCUUUUACUCUAAAUAUUUUCAAACAUCAAACUGAAUAGAGAACCAAGAUCAAAGAGCAAAAAGGAAGAAUUUUGAUACACCUUCCAAUCUUUUAGUCUUUGUAAUUGUUUUUUAACACUUCUAAUAAUGGGUGAUUUGUGAGGGGCCCCAUCAUUGGUUGGUGUUAUUUGCAACUUUAGACACGUGUUUAUAGCGUAUUAAUAUCAAAAUUUCACCACAUAUGCAUAUUUCAUAGUCAUACCUUAUUAUUUUACGAAACUCUUGUUUUGUGUCAUACCUCAUUAUUUUGUGAAACUAUUGUUUUGUGGAAUGGAAUCUACUUUUGUUUGUUGUCUAAAUUGUGCUAGCAAAUCAAAUGUUGAGUUAAAGAACAAUGGCUGGAUGAUGAAGUUAUUUAUUUUGUGUGACUAAUAUAAUUGGGUUUUGGCCAUUCAAAACAACAAAAAAAUAAAAGAGAAAUUAAUUGCCACAAAGUUGUGUCUUGGAAACUUGGGUCAACGAACAAUGAAUUGGCAUUUUGGGCUCUGGGCCUGCUAACAAAGUAAAAAAAGAUCACACAUCAAAAAGCAACAACCGGAACGAACAAAGGGGAGAGGACAUCAUUUGACGGCUGGCGACUUCGAUUUUUGGAGGGUGGACUUCGAGUUCGAGAUCAAGAGAAGCAAGAAUUCAGAUUUUGGGAAGUAAUUUUGGUUUCGUACGUUGUUAAUUCUAUGUUUUGUUUAGACUUGAUUGUUUUAUCAUGUCCGGCUAGACCUUUAUAGUUUCGACAUCUGCGUUUAUUUUCUUUAAUUUGCUUCAUAAACUUAUGU